GCAGUCGAACGGUAACAGGGAGCUUGCUCCGCUGACGAGUGGCGAACGGGUGAGUAAUAUAUCGGAACGUACCCAGAAGUGGGGGAUAACGUAGCGAAAGUUACGCUAAUACCGCAUACGAUCCAAGGAUGAAAGUAGGGGACCUUCGGGCCUUAUGCUUUUGGAGCGGCCGAUAUCUGAUUAGCUAGUUGGUGAGGUAAAGGCUCACCAAGGCGACGAUCAGUAGCUGGUCUGAGAGGACGACCAGCCACACUGGAACUGAGACACGGUCCAGACUCCUACGGGAGGCAGCAGUGGGGAAUUUUGGACAAUGGGCGCAAGCCUGAUCCAGCAAUGCCGCGUGAGUGAAGAAGGCCUUCGGGUUGUAAAGCUCUUUUGUCAGGGAAGAAACGGUGGGAGCUAAUAUCUCUUACUAAUGACGGUACCUGAAGAAUAAGCACCGGCUAACUACGUGCCAGCAGCCGCGGUAAUACGUAGGGUGCAAGCGUUAAUCGGAAUUACUGGGCGUAAAGCGUGCGCAGGCGGUUUUGUAAGUCUGACGUGAAAUCCCCGGGCUCAACCUGGGAAUUGCGUUGGAGACUGCAAGGCUAGAAUCUGGCAGAGGGGGGUAGAAUUCCACGUGUAGCAGUGAAAUGCGUAGAGAUGUGGAGGAACACCGAUGGCGAAGGCAGCCCCCUGGGUCAAGAUUGACGCUCAUGCACGAAAGCGUGGGGAGCAAACAGGAUUAGAUACCCUGGUAGUCCACGCCCUAAACGAUGUCUACUAGUUGUCGGGUUUUAAUUAACUUGGUAACGCAGCUAACGCGUGAAGUAGACCGCCUGGGGAGUACGGUCGCAAGAUUA
rnacentral:rRNA from 1 species